rnacentral:lncRNA from 10 species
UUCAUUACGUGAAGGCUUAAGCACAACUAAACCAGAAGACAAUAAAGUACAAUGAAGUAGUCCAAUCCCACACCCUAUGAGAAUUGCUGUGGUUGCAAUAGCUGCAAUGCCAGCUGAUAUUGGUGCUUUAUCGCCCAUAAAUUUCCAAAAUGCCCCCUAGGGGGCAGAACCACUUCUUCCGUGAAGUAUCCUCAGCAGUCCCAAAUACCCUCAGCCAAGCUGCCCAGACUGUUUUCCUUCCUCCAGUGAUGACCCAGCCUUGGAGUUCUUCAAGUUCUUGGAAUUGUUAAGCACCAUGUGACCAUCACCAUGUGUCAGACCAGUGAGGAGGUCAGGAGAGAGAAGCGUCCUCGUGGCUUGCCCUCAGGAGCUCACAAGGCUCUGCUGGUUACAAGGCCUGGCCCCUCUCCACGAGAUGUGCUUUGGGAUCCACAAGGAGAGUGCUUACCCAGAACAAGUGACAGACAAGGCCAACUCAGGGACAGGACAGUCACCAUGUGUGUCCCAUGGCAUCCCAAGUUGAGCAGUGCUAGGGCCCAGGGUCCUGGGAGCAGGAACAAAGUUGGAAAUGGAAGCCUAUGCCUAUCAAACGAUAGGAAAGUCCUGAGAUGAGGCUGAGAAAACAGUUUGUGAGAUGACAGGAUCAGGAAGCAGGGAGGCUUGGAAGGCAGAUACAGGGAGGAAAAAUCUUC